rnacentral:rRNA from 1 species
GACGAACGCUGGCGGCGUGCUUAACACAUGCAAGUCGAACGGAAAGGCCCUGCUUUUGUGGGGUGCUCGAGUGGCGAACGGGUGAGUAACACGUGAGUAACCUGCCCUUGACUUUGGGAUAACUUCAGGAAACUGGGGCUAAUACCGGAUAGGAGCUCCUGCUGCAUGGUGGGGGUUGGAAAGUUUCGGCGGUUGGGGAUGGACUCGCGGCUUAUCAGCUUGGUGGUGGGGUAGUGGCUUACCAAGGCUUUGACGGGUAGCCGGCCUGAGAGGGUGACCGGCCACAUUGGGACUGAGAUACGGCCCAGACUCCUACGGGAGGCAGCAGUGGGGAAUAUUGCACAAUGGGCGGAAGCCUGAUGCAGCAACGCCGCGUGCGGGAUGACGGCCUUCGGGUUGUAAACCGCUUUCGCCUGUGACGAAGCGUAAGUGACGGUAAUGGGUAAAGAAGCACCGGCUAACUACGUG